AAACUAUUUUUCUGAAAAUGAUUAAUCAAAGUUAAAAAAUAAAAAAAAUGUUGUAAAAACAACAUAUUUACAAUUUUUUUUUGGUUUAAGUUGUUUUGUGGAUAAGGAGUUAUCAAUUUCACGCUGUAAACAAAUAUCUCGAAAAUAAAAAAUAUUAUUAUAUGUUUGCAAAAAAUUAUUUCAAAAACUUAAGCAAUAUAAUAAUAUAAAUAAAACUUUUUGAUUUUAUUGGUAUCUAGUUUAUAAUUGAAAGCUAAAUGUGUAAGAAAGGAAUUUCCAAAAACUUAAAAGUAAACCUUUUUUAGUAUUUGAAAUAAUUUUUUUAUUCUAAUAUCAAAAAAAAUAAAAGUUUUCUUUGUUUUAUCCCUCCCUUAAUUUCCAAUAUUUUAGAUAAAAUUUUUCUUUUCAUGUAAACCCCAAUAGUUAGGCAUUAAAAUGAUAGUAUAAGUAUUUUAUUUAAAUUUGUUUAAAAAACUUGUAUUCGAGAAAACCUGUUUAUCAAAAACAUAGUGUUUUGUUAAUAAAUGAACCAUAAUUUCUGCUCCCUGUCACAAUAAAGAGCCGCGAGAAUAUCGUGCUAAGGUAGCGUAAUCAUUUGUCUCUUAAUUAGAGACUAGAAUGAAAGAAAAAAUUUUCUCGUAUUUUUUUAAACAAAAGGAAAAAAAUUAAAAAUUUAGGUGAAAAUGCUAAAUAAGAAUAAAAAGACGAGAAGACCCUAUAGAGCUUUUUUAUUACCAAGCUUUUUUUAUAAAAUUAGCUGGGGCGGCUAUUUUUAACCAAAAUUUAAAUAAAAAAUUUAAAUUGAAUAAGAACUGGAAAUGUAACCAAAUAAAAGAAAAGUUACCUUAGGGGUAACAGCGCAAUUUUUAAAUAGAGCUCAUAUUUAUUUAAAAGUUUGUGACCUCGAUGUUGGAUUGAAAACUCUUUUUAAUGCAACCAUUAAGAAAGACUGUCUGUUCGACAAAUAAAUUUUCACAUGAUCUGAGUUCAAACCCGG
rnacentral:rRNA from 1 species